UUUAUUAGGUUUAUAUACAACUUACAUUUAAUAGGUUUAUAUACAACAUAUUUAUAUACAAUUUAUUUAUUUCAUAUUGUAUCGGACCGUGUCAUUGCAGUCUUGUACUUUUGAAUGGUAGGUGCAGACUGACUGGAUGAUUUGGAAUCUCGCAUAGAAGCGCUACGUCUUCGCUUUAGUUCUUCUUGACGCCUAUUCUUAGCUUCCUUCUGCCGUUGUGCUAACAGCUUCGCAUACUCUGCUGCUUGUUGCUUGCGAGCCAAGCAACGCCUCUUCUUUAGAGCCAGUCUAUGCCUCUUUCUCUAUAUAAACAUAUUUUUAUUUUAUUAUAAACUCCAUAUUUUUGGAAAAUUUUAACUGAAACAAAACAACAAUACAAUAUAGAUACAUAUAUGUACAAACCUGGAGUGUAAGUGGGGUAAUAAGACGUUGAAUUUUAGGGGCUUUCGAACGCUGUGGUUUGCCCUCUUUUUGAAUUGGUCGUUUCACAACGAAUCGACGGACAUCAUCUUCCUUGGAUAAAUUAAAUAGCUUGCGAAUUUUGCUUGCUCUCUUGGGUCCUAAACGGCGUGGGACUUCCUUGUCAGUUAAAUCUGGGAUAUCCUGUAAGAAUUUAAUCAACUUAUACAUUAAAUGCU